GAAAUGCGAUACUUGGUGUGAAUUGCAGAAUCCCGUGAACCAUCGAGUCUUUGAACGCAAGUUGCGCCCGAAGCCAUUAGGCCGAGGGCACGCCUGCCUGGGUGUCACACACGGGGCUACCCGCUGAGUUUAA
rnacentral:misc_RNA from 1 species